rnacentral:rRNA from 1 species
CAAUAGCGUAUAUUAAAGUUGUUGCGGUUAAAAAGCUCGUAGUUGGAUUUCUGCUGAGGACGACCGGUCCGCCCUUCGGGUGAGUAUCUGGUUUGGCCUUGGCAUCUUCUUGGUGAACGUAUCUGCACUUGACUGUGUGGUGCGGUACCCAGGACUUUUACUUUGAGGAAAUUAGAGUGUUUCAAGCAGGCAUACGCCUUGAAUACAUUAGCAUGGAAUAAUAAGAUAGGACCUCGGUUCUAUUUUGUUGGUUUCUAGAGCUGAGGUAAUGAUUAAUAGGGAUAGUUGGGGGCACCUGUAUUGCGUUGUCAGAGGUGAAAUUCUUGGAUUUACGCAAGACAAACAGCUGCGAAAGCGUCUGCCAAGGAUGUUUUCAUUAA